UACGUAGGGGGCAAGCGUUGUCCGGAUUUAUUGGGCGUAAAGAGCUCGUAGGUGGUUUGGUAAGUCGGAUGUGAAAUCUCCCGGCUCAACUGGGAGGGUGCGCCGAAAACUGGAAGGCUAGAGUGCGGGAUGGGAGAGUGGAAUUCCUGGUGUAGCGGUGAAAUGCGUAGAUAUCAGGAGGAACACCUGUGGUGUAGACGGCUCUCUGGACCGCAACUGACGCUGAGACACGAAAGCGUGGGUAGCAAACAGG
rnacentral:rRNA from 1 species